GAUGAAGAACGUAGCGAAAUGCGAUAACUAAUGUGAAUUGCAGAAUUCCGUGAAUCAUCGAGUCUUUGAACGCACAUUGCGCCCCCUGGUAUUCCGGGGGGCAUGCCUGUCCGAGCGUCAUUGCAACCCUCAAGCACGGCUUGUCUAAUGGGCGGUUCGUCUGCGGCCAUCCGCCGGAGACGCCCCCGAAAUGCAGUGGGGAUGUUCGCUAAAUCGCAGCGUCAGGAAUGGAAAUAAACAAUGCUGACGGCUCGAUGUCGAACGUCCACCUAAGGCGUGUCGCCCCCCGGGGUGUGCCGCCCAACCUCUCUCGGUUGACCUCGGAUCAGGUAGGGAUACCCGCUGAACUUAAGCAUAUCAAUAAGCGGAGGA
rnacentral:misc_RNA from 1 species